rnacentral:rRNA from 1 species
AUUGAACGCUGGCGGCAUGCCUUACACAUGCAAGUCGAACGGCAGCACGGGGCAACCUGGUGGCGAGUGGCGAACGGGUGAGUAAUGCAUCGGAACGUACCUUUCAGUGGGGGAUAACGUAGCGAAAGUUACGCUAAUACCGCAUAUUCUGUGAGCAGGAAAGCAGGGGAUCGCAAGACCUUGCGCUGAUUGAGCGGCCGAUGUCAGAUUAGCUAGUUGGGGAGGUAAAGGCUCACCAAGGCGACGAUCUGUAGCGGGUCUGAGAGGAUGAUCCGCCACACUGGAACUGAGACAAGGUCCAGACUCCUACGGGAGGCAGCAGUGGGGAAUUUUGGACAAUGGGGGCAACCCUGAUCCAGCCAUGCCGCGUGAGUGAAGAAGGCCUUCGGGUUGUAAAGCUCUUUCGGCCGGGAAGAAAUCGCACGGGCUAAUACCCUGUGUGGAUGACGGUACCGGAAUAAGAAGCACCGGCUAACUACGUGCCAGCCGCCGCAGUAACAC